CCUACGGGAGGCAGCAGUGAGGAAUAUUGGUCAAUGGGCGCGAGCCUGAACCAGCCAAGUAGCGUGAAGGAUGACUGCCCUACGGGUUGUAAACUUCUUUUAUAAAGGAAUAAAGUGAGGCACGUGUGCCUUUUUGUAUGUACUUUAUGAAUAAGGAUCGGCGAACUCCGUGCCAGCAGCCGCGGUAAUACGGAGGAUCCGUGCGUUAUCCGGAUUUAGUGGGGUUAAAGGGAGCGUAGAUGGGUUGUUAAGUCAGUUGUGAAAGUUUGCGGCUCAACCGUAAAAUUGCAAUUGAUAAUGGCAUUCUUGAGUACAGUUGAGGUAGGCGGAAUUCGUGGUGUAGCGGUGAAAUGCUUAGAUAUCACGAAGAACCCCGAUUGUGAAGGCAGCUUACUAAACUGUGACUGACAUUGAUGCUCGAAAGUGUGGGUAUCAAACAGGAUUAGAUACCCUGGUAGUC
rnacentral:rRNA from 1 species